CCAGUGCUGUGAUUUUAUAUUAGGC
rnacentral:piRNA from 1 species